rnacentral:rRNA from 1 species
GACGAACGCUGGCGGCGCGCUUAACACAUGCAAGUCGAACGGAAAGGCCUGCUUUCCCUUGUGGAUUGCGGGUACUCGAGUGGCGAACGGGUGAGUAACACGUGAGUGAUCUGCCCCCAACUUGGGUAUAAGCCUGGGAAACUGGGUCUAAUUCCCGAUAGGACUGCAGGGUGGUGCCUGUGGUGGAAAACGAUUUUCUAGUGGUUGGGGAUGAGCUCGCGGCCUAUCGGCUUGUUGGUGGGGUAAUGGCCUACCAAGGCGGCGACGGGUAGCCGGCCUGAGAGGGUGGACGGCCACAUUGGGACUGAGAUACGGCCCAGACUCCGACGGGAGGCAGCAGUGGGGAAUAUUGCACAAUGGGCGGAAGCCUGAUGCAGCGACGCCGCGUGGGGGAUGACGGCCUUCGGGUUGUAAACUCCUUUCGACCGCGAGGAAGCCACCUGGUUGGAAGGGUGGUGACGGUAGUGGUAGAAGAAGCACCGGCUAACUACGUG